CAGCCGCCGCGGGAAUACGAAGGGGGCUAGCGUUGUUCGGAAUUACUGGGCGUAAAGCGCACGUAGGCGGAUAUUUAAGUCAGGGGUGAAAUCCCAGAGCUCAACUCUGGAACUGCCUCUGAUACUGGGUAUCUUGAGUAUGGAAGAGGUGAGUGGAAUUCCGAGUGUAGAGGUGAAAUUCGUAGAUAUUCGGAGGAACACCAGUGGCGAAGGCGGCUCACUGGUCCAUUACUGACGCUGAGGUGCGAAAGCGUGGGGAGCAAACAGGAUUAGAGACCCCGGUAGUCCCUGUCUCUUAUAC
rnacentral:rRNA from 1 species